rnacentral:rRNA from 1 species
CCUACGGGUGACUGCAGUCGAGAAUCAUUCACAAUGGGGGCAACCCUGCUGGUGCGACGCCGCGUGGGGGAAUGAAGGUCUUCGGAUUGUAACCUCUUGUCAUGUGGGAGCAAAUUAAAAAGAUAGUACCACAAGAGGAAGAGACGGCUAACUGUGUCCCAGCCGCCGCGAUACUACAGAGUUCUCAUGCGUUGUUCGGAAUCACUGGAGGUAACGGGGUCGUUGGCUGUUUCGUAAGUCAUGUGUGAAAGGCGCGGGCUCAACCGGCGGACUGCACAUGAAACUGCGAGACUAGAGUAUUGGAGAGGGAACCGGAAUGCGCGGUGUAGCAGUGAAAUGCGUAGAUA